rnacentral:rRNA from 1 species
GACGAACGCUGGCGGCGUGCUUAACACAUGCAAGUCGAACGGAAAGGCCCUGCUUUUGUGGGGUGCUCGAGUGGCGAACGGGUGAGUAAUACGUGAGUAACCUGCCCUUGACUUUGGGAUAACUUUAGGAAACUGGGGCUAAUACCGGAUAGGAGCUCCUGCUGCAUGGUGGGGGUUGGAAAGUUUCGGCGGUUGGGGAUGGACUCGCGGCUUAUCAGCUUGUUGGUGGAGUAGUGGAUUACCAAGGUUUUGAAGGGUAGCCGGCCUGAGAGGGUGACCGGCCACAUUGGGACUGAGAUACGGCCCAGAGUCCUACGGGAGGCAGCAGUGGGGAAUAUGGCACAAUGGGCGCAAGCCUGAUGCAGCAACGCCGCGAGCGGGAAGACGGCCUUCGGGUUAUAAACCGCUUUCGCCUGUGACAAAGCGUGAGUGACGGUAAUGGGUAAAUAAGCACCGGCUAACUACGUG